rnacentral:rRNA from 1 species
CAAUAGCGUAUAUUUAAGUUGUUGCAGUUAAAAAGCUCGUAGUUGGAUUUCGGGUGGGACGCAGCGGUCUCGCAUUGCGUUUGUACUGCUGCAGCCCUCCUUCUUGCCGGGGGCGGCCUCUCGGACUUCACUGUCUGGGGGUCAGAAUCGGCGAUGUUACUUUGAGUAAAUUAGAGUGUUCAAAGCAAGCUUACGCUCUGAAUAUAAUAGCAUGGGAUAACACGACAGGACUCUGGCCUAUCGUGUUGGUCUAUAGGACCAGAGUAAUGAUUAAGAGGGACAGUCGGGGGCAUUCGUAUUCCGUUGUCAGAGGUGAAAUUCUUGGAUUUACGGAAGACGAACAUCUGCGAAAGCAUUUGCCAAAGAUGUUUUCAUUGA